rnacentral:lncRNA from 1 species
CCCUAAUUACACUCACCGUUGACCAGAAACGAUAUGAAUGAACACUGGAUGCAAAUGAUGGCUGCUCUAAUUAGAUAAUUGUAUGCAAAAUUAAUCUAGCGCCCUGACUGAUAGUUGAUGUCCCAUUCAGGGCAUGGUCCAUUUUGGGUAGCCCCGCAGAAUGCCUGGCUAAAAAUUAAACCACGUGUCAAGUUCGUUAAGUGUGUUUUCUGCAGCUUUAAUUUGAUAAUUAGCCACUGGAGAUCAUGCUCAACACAUCUUCUUCAAGCCAAAGUUGGAAAGCGAAAGCAACAACUCUCCCUUGGAAAAGGGGUAGCAGCUGGCUUCCUGUCAAGAGCAAAACCAUGGCAGAUCAACAGCAAGGCUGAAGUGGGGUUAGCACAUAAAAAAACGCAGGCAGCUGCUCAAACACCUGCGUGA